CCUUCCUGUGUCUCCGCACAGGCAGCCGGGCUGCAACCGGCCCCGAGCCGCGGCGGGGGCCGGGGCCGAGCGGGGGGGUCUCCAGCUGAAGAGGGGAAGGUUGGAGCAUCCCCCCUUCCUCGCUCUGCCCUCCACCCCCGGAACGAAGGGAUGAGCAUCUCCAGGGCAGGCUCUUGCACCAUCAGCUCUCCACCUGUGGAUAUGAGGAGAUGAUGAGUGGAGCAAUGUGGCAUGGAUUGACAUUCCCACGCAUGAGAACCUGGUUAUGCAUAGACUCCAUCUCCCAUGCUUUUAGCAAGAAGUGUCUCUAUCGGGAUGUGUUCUCCACAAAUGAAGGUCUCCAGCCCUGUUACAGAGAUGAUAAUGCCUCAAACCAUCCCAGAGAAGGACAGGAUGGAGUUGGGUCUGAUUUUCAGUCCUGGGAAGUCUUAUUCUGCUUUGCUCCUCUUUCAGGUUUACCUCCUCCAUCACCUCAAACACAGAGCUGCUCCUGGCUUUUCUCCUCCCUCAUCCCACCAGGGAUGGCUUGGUGGUUAGACGGUCCUUUGUGGACUCUUUUUGAUCCAGGAGGCCAACCUAAAGACAUAUAAUGAGUGCAGUCGUGAUGCCAUAAUGAUCUAAGGUCUGGAUGGGGGAGAAAUGUUCCAUAAAUAGUUACAGCUGGAAAAGGAUGAGGAGAAACCAAUCUGGACCAUGGGCAACGAAUCCAAACCACUUUAUUUGGGUAAAUAAAUUUAUUCAAUUAGUAAAGGGUGGGCUUUGAAAAUUAAACAGAGGUGUUCUUUUCUAAUUUGAUUUUGGGGUAAAUAAUGGAAAAGCUUCUCAUAUGGUGAAUAAAGAAUUUAUUGACAUGAAUGUAG